rnacentral:rRNA from 1 species
AUUGAACGCUGGCGGCAGGCCUAACACAUGCAAGUCGAGCGGAGCGGCGGACGGGUGAGUAAUGCCUAGGAAUCUGCCUGGUAGUGGGGGAUAACGUCCGGAAACGGGCGCUAAUACCGCAUACUAUCAGAUGAGCCUAGGUCGGCUUAGCUAGUUGGUGGGGUAAAGGCCUACCAAGGCGACGAUCCGUAACUGGUCUGAGAGGAUGAUCAGUCACCCUGGAACUGGUAUACGGCCCAGACGCCGACGGGAGGCGGCAGUGGGGGAGAUUGCACACUGGGCGAAUGCCUGAUGCAGCGACGCCGCAUGGGGGAUGAAGGCUUUCGGGUUGUAAACCUCUUUCGCUAUCGAAUGGGUAGGUGGAGAAGAAGCGCCGGCUAACUACGUGCCAGCAGCCGCGGUAAUAC